rnacentral:rRNA from 1 species
GCGUAUGCAAUCUACCUAUAACUGAGGGAUAGCCCAGAGAAAUUUGGAUUAAUACCUCAUAAUAAUAUUUUUUGGCAUCAUUAAAUAUUUAAAACCCCGGUGGUUAUAGAUGAGCAUGCGUUCUAUUAGUUUGUUGGUGAGGUAAAGGCUCACCAAGACUACGAUAGAUAGGGGGCCUGAAAGGGUGAUCCCCCACACUGGUACUGAGACACGGACCAGACUCCUACGGGAGGCAGCAGUGAGGAAUAUUGCACAAUGGAGGAAACUCUGAUGCAGCCAUGCCGCGUGCAGGAUGACGGCCCUAUGGGUUGUAAACUGCUUUUUUACAAGAAGAAACCUUGGUACGUGUACCAACUUGACGGUAUUGUAAGAAUAAGCACCGGCUAACUCCGUGCCAGCAGCCGCGGUAAUACGGAGGGUGCAAGCGUUAUCCGGAUUUAUUAGGUUUAAAGGGUUCGCAGGCGGAAUUUUAAGUC